CACACACACACUACUACAGCAACGGCCUACAGCACGCUUAGGUGGUCCCCACACACACACACUACUACAGCAACGACCUACAGCACGCUUAGGUGGUCCCCACACACACACACUACUACAGCAACGACCUACAGCACGCUUAGGUGGUCCCCACACACACACACUACUACAGCAACGACCUACAGCACGCUUAGGUGGUCCCCACACACACACACUACUACAGCAACGGCCUACAGCACGCUUAGGUGGUCCCCACACACACACACUACUACAGCAACGACCUACAGCACGCUUAGGUGGUCCACACACACACACACUACUACAGCAACGGCCUACAGCACGCUUAGGUGGUCCACACACACACACACUACUACAGCAACGGCCUACAGCACGCUUAGGUGGUCCCCACACACACACACUACUACAGCAACGGCCUACAGCACGCUUAGGUGGUCCCCACACACACACACUACUACAGCAACGGCCUACAGCACGCUUAGGUGGUCCCCACACACACACACUACUACAGCAACGGCCUACAGCAACGCUUAGGUGGUCCCCACACACACACACUACUACAGCAACGGCCUACAGCACGCUUAGGUGGUCCCCACACACACACACUACUACAGCAACGGCCUACAGCACGCUUAGGUGGUCCCCACACACACACUACUACAGCAACGGCCUACAGCACGCUUAGGUGGUCCCCACACACACACACUACUACAGCAACGGCCUACAGCACGCUUAGGUGGUCCCCACACACACACACUACUACAGCAACGGCCUACAGCACGCUUAGGUGGUCCCCACACACACACUACUACAGCAACGGCCUACAGCACGCUUAGGUGGUCCCCACACACACACACUACUACAGCAACGGCCUACAGCACGCUUAGGUGGUCCCCACACACACACACUACUACAGCAACGGCCUACAGCACGCUUAGGUGGUCCCCACACACACACACUACUACAGCAACGGCCUACAGCACGCUUAGGUGGUCCCCACACACACACACUACUACAGCAACGACCUACAGCACGCUUAGGUGGUCCACACACACACACACUUCUACAGCAACGACCCACAGCACGCUUAGGUGGUCCCCACACACACACACACACACUUCUACAGCAACGACCCACAGCACGCUAAAGGUGCUCCCCACACACACACACACACACACACACUUCUACAGCAACGACCCACAGCA